GUCUACACUCAUGCUACCCUGAACAAGUCUGAUGUCCGAUUUCAGAAGCUAAGCAGGAUUGGGCCUGGUUAGUACUUGGAUGAGAGAUCACUCAGGAAGAACAGGUGCUGUAGGCA
rnacentral:rRNA from 1 species